rnacentral:rRNA from 1 species
AAUGAACGCUGGCGGCAUGCCUAACACAUGCAAGUCGAAUGAAGGCUUCGGCCUUAGUGGCGCACGGGUGCGUAACGCGUGGGAAUCUGCCCUCAGGUUCGGAAUAACAGCGAGAAAUUGCUGCUAAUACCGGAUGAUAUCGCGAGAUCAAAGAUUUAUCGCCUGAGGAUGAGCCCGCGUAGGAUUAGCUAGUUGGUGUGGUGAAGGCGCACCAAGGCGACGAUCCUUAGCUGGUCUGAGAGGAUGAUCAGCCACACUGGGACUGAGACACGGCCCAGACUCCUACGGGAGGCAGCAGUGGGGAAUAUUGGACAAUGGGCGAAAGCCUGAUCCAGCAAUGCCGCGUGAGUGAUGAAGGCCUUAGGGUUGUAAAGCUCUUUUACCCGGGAUGAUGAUGACAGUACCGGGAGAAUAAGCUCCGGCUAACUCCGUGCCAGCAGCCGCCGUAA